rnacentral:rRNA from 1 species
UACGGAGGGGGCUAGCGUUGUUCGGAAUUACUGGGCGUAAAGCGCACGUAGGCGGCUUUGUAAGUUAGAGGUGAAAGCCCGGGGCUCAACUCCGGAACUGCCUUUAAGACUGCAUCGCUAGAAUUGUGGAGAGGUGAGUGGAAUUCCGAGUGUAGAGGUGAAAUCCGUAGAUAUUCGGAAGAACACCAGUGGCGAAGGCGACUCACUGGACACAUAUUGACGCUGAGGUGCGAAAGCGUGGGGAGCAAACAGG